UUUACGGCCGCACAAUCACCACAGCUGAAGAAGACAAGAAACCCACGCCAUCUGCUCUCUUUGUUCGUGCGCUAACCCUCACUGAACGAAGAAAAAUCACUCAACAGCCCCGCAAGCCCACUCGAACACCAACCCUCAGCUCCACGCAUCUUCAGCUCUACCGUUUGCUGCCAAGUUUGGUCAACCAUGGGGCACCUCCACCAGUUUGUUGACCCAACAAACGCUCAAAGAAGCCCACCGAAGUGAAGCCGCACGCGUACGACGCUAGGCCACCGAAGACCCCGCAAUAGCUCUCUCCAUCUCUGCCACAAUUUCUUCUUGCAACUGCUGCUACGUCCCAUCUACUCGACCAUCAACGAAGACCACCCAUCUUCGUGUCUUCGUCCACCGAGUCAGUCAAGUGAGGCCAGCGAACUCUCCUCCAUUCGUGUCUUCUGCCAGGCGUUGUCCACUUCUUCGAUCAGCAGACGCCAGUUUUGUUGACCUGCUCCUCACGGGAUUGAAGUCGGUGCACGUCCUCUCUCUUGUGCGCCAACCCCACCGAAUGAAACAGCUUGCGUCUCCACACGUCCAGCACAGCGGAAGUUCAUUUCCACAGAAGACUCAAGAAUCCCUCGUGCUGCCACUUGCCAUAUUCGCGGCCAACUCCACGCGUCUCCAGCAAACUUCGGUUCCUCGAUCAACAUUAGCAAUCACCGAAGCCUCCUGUUGACUGAACAGCUUUGCCCCGCUGCCACUUGGCUGCACCUGCGUUUGGUUCGGUCAACAAGCGGACGCUGAAGACCACCGAGGAAGCCCGUGUCCGUCCGCGAGAGAUUGUUCCCAACUUUGGUCGGCCACCGAAGCCAGCGAAAUCGAAGCUGCACGUGUGUUCCCCAGCUCCGUUUUUUGCUUCAGUCUUGCCGCGCCAGCCUCAAACGAAGGAGCUCCCUUCGUCCAUGCCUUCAGUAAGCAACCAGCAGGCCCACUCAAAGACAUCAUUCGGCCCAACUAAAGUCAAGCCCAGCCAAGCUCCAAAGCCCAACAAAGCCAGCAGUUUCCAGCCCAAGUGAACAGCAGUUUGGCCCACGUUUCCAACCCAAGCAGAAUUAAGUCUAGAUCAAGUUCAGCCCAAGAUUCCAACAGUAAAGCCCAGCCUUGCUGAAGUUUGUAGGGCCAAGUCUUAGGCCCGGUCCAAGCCCGUUUUAGGCCGCCAUUGCGUCGCCGUCGCGAUGAUUCGGUCCCCGUUUUUAAUCAAGUGAGUUUUACUCACUAAUGCUUUAUUAGUUUGCUAAUUAUGCCUUAGGGUUGGUUAGAUUUAAUUACAUGCACUUAGGUGGUUAGAUUAGGUUAGAACAAUUAAUUUAGUGACUUAAUGAUGCAUGUUAGGUGGUUAGACCUAGCUAUUAGCAAGUAGAAAUGUUUGGUUAUUUAUUGAAUGCAUCUCGGGAUUUUUCCCGACCAGUUUCGGGCUCCAAUAAGGCAAUAUGGGCCUAAAUUGGAUUUUUAAUAUUUAUUUAUUUAUUUUUCGAAAUUAAUUAUUUAAUUAAUUAUUUUUCCGGAAAUUCAACCGGGAUGGCCGGUGACCGGAAUUUUCGUGCUGAUUGUCGUGGUGCAGUCUGUUUAUUUAAUUGAGCUUCAAUUUUUAUGGAAUUGAUUUAAAUUGUGAAAUUUGAGGAAUUGUCCCAAAUUGUUUGUUAUUGAGUAUUUGAUUGGUAAUGGCCGAGCAUGGAUAUAUAGCGCCAGUACGUUGAUGGGCUAUAUAGUAGGGAGAAUGGUGAGAGCUAACUGAGAACAUUAUUGGUUGAGACCAAUCAGGUACGAUAUUAUUGGACAUACGUGGUUCGGUGAUUGGAAGUAUCACUGGUGAAAACGGCGCCUUAAAGAACGCACGUAAAUGACUUAUAGACAAACGUGGUUCGGUGAUUAUGGAAAUAUCACUAGUGAAAACGACGCCUUCAAGAACUCACGAUGUUGUCUAUAGCCGAUGUCACCUUGGCGAAAACGGCGCCCUAGAAAGGACACAUGGUUCGGUGAUCGAGGAUAUCACUGGUGAAAAUGGCGCCUUAAAGAACGCAUGGUGUCGGUGAUCGGUAUGUCAUUGGCGAAAACGACGCCCGAGAAACACAUGUGAUUUGGUGAAUGAGUACACCACUGGGAAAUCGUGGUAUGAGUGAGAAUGACCUAGAGAGGGUUUGACUGACGUGUAAUCGACUUAGUCGAUUGGCCAGUGCUUGAUCAGAUGUCGUGAAUUGUUUGAAUAUUUGUGUUUAACCUUAAUUUGCAGGUGGAAUCUGAGGUCAAGGUAAGUCUUCUAACGUGUGUCGUGCUUAGGCAACCGUAUGGCGUAUUAGUUUACUAAUCGAGUCGUAGGGGGUAGGACUUGCUGAGACGUGGUCUCAUUGGUUAUUGAAUAACCAUUUCAGGACCUUGAGGAAAAGCUGAGGAGGAAGAACCUGAAGGGGCUACUGGUGCGGACAUCCAGAGAAGGAUCUUGAGUAUGACCUAGAUGUGGAUUAAAAUCUCAUCCCUUUUGUGAACCCUAUCUUAGUGUAGAUAGGUGUGAGACUUUUAUGCUGUAAAUAGUAUUGUAAAUAUACUAUAAGUUGUGCUGUUAAUAAAAGUGUGGUUGUGAAUUUCAAUAUGAAAAA
rnacentral:lncRNA from 1 species